UGGGGAAUAUUGCACAAUGGGGGAAACCCUGAUGCAGCGACGCCGCGUGGAGGAAGAAGGUCUUCGGAUUGUAAACUCCUGUUGUUGAGGAAGAUAAUGACGGUACUCAACAAGGAAGUGACGGCUAACUACGUGCCAGCAGCCGCGGUAAUACGUAGGUGGCGAGCGUUAUCCGGAUUUACUGGGUGUAAAGGGCGCGUAGGCGGGGAUACAAGUCAGGUGUGAAAUCUAUGGGCUUAACCCAUAAACUGCACUUGAAACUGUAUCUCUUGAAGUGUCGGAGAGGUAGACGGAAUUCCUAGUGUAGCGGUGAAAUGCGUAGAUAUUAGGAGGAACACCAGUGGCGAAGGCGGUCUACUGGACG
rnacentral:rRNA from 1 species